UUGAGCGUAUAACUGCGGCUUUGGCGAGCUAAAGGACCAUAAGUGAAGUCACACACGUGCGGUUACGACGAUGACAUUGUACGGGAUAUGCGUUGCGACACUACAGCUUGUGGGCUGGGAGGCGGUGGCCAGAGCGAGUUUUGGCAGCGAUUAAUUGUACGCGUCUCCAUGGAUUACCGGAUGGAUGUGACAGAGGUGAAAUGAAGUCGUACUCGAACGAUUGUUCUCGCUGAUCCAAACAUGGAUCUCUUUUUUUUGAAGCAUGAGUCAAAAGGAAUUUUUACGAAUUGGGCAGCCCAAUGAACC